rnacentral:rRNA from 1 species
UACGUAGGGGACCAAGCGUUGUUCGGAUUUACUGGCGUAAAGGGCGCGUAGGCGGCGUGUUAAGUCAGACUGUGAAAUCUCCAGCUUAACUUGGAACGGUCAGCUGAUACUGAUGUGCUAGAGUGCAGGAAAGGGCAAUCGGAAUUCUGGUGUAGCGGUGAAAUGCGUAGAUAGUCAAGAGGAACACCUGAGGCGAAGGCGGGUUGCCUAGGACUGACACGUGACGCUGGAGGCGACGAAAGCCUAGGGUAGCAAACGGG